CUGUGGUACUGCAUACGGAAGUCUGGAGUGGCAGAGAAGUAUGUUAGAAUAAUUACAGGACGUGUACGAGGGCAGCAGAACAGUGCCUCCACUGGUAGAGGGAGACGGCCGGGUUGGCGUCGGCUUGGCAGCUCAGCUGGACGUUCUCUCUGUUCAGGUACCAGUUUCCGUCGUAGCCGUCAACCAGAACAUCGGGUUCAUCUGGAGUGCGCACACAAAGAAGGACGAUGAAUCCACCGCACGAGGGGUUUGCACGUUUUUCCAGGAGCCACCUGACAAUCCUAACGCCACAUCAACAUAACUACUGUGUGCAUCCCAAAUACCAUGGAAAUAAUUUAUUCUAAGAACAUUUCAAGGGAAGGUGGUGUAUUCACAGAUGUAGGUAGCUUCGUCAGACAGACGCAACGUGGAGAAGGUGAUGGUGGUGUCUUCAAGGGUCGGAGUUCGACGCCUCACGGCAGCGUUCUUGAAGGUGACGCGGUCCUUGUAGGGAGGGGCUACGGACACCCCGAGGGACGGGUUGGCAAUGGCCAUGUUCUGCUUGGUGCCGUUCACCAGUUUCUGCCACGUCACCUAGGAAGGCACAGAUGGAAGUGGGCCUUUUCAAAUUGAGCUCUCAUUAAAUGUCCCAAAAGUUGAAUAAUUUGGAGUUCAACCUGAAUAAAAUCUUUAUUUGUACAUGCAAAGUUAAUCAAGGUUUUCUGAUUCCAAUAGUUAUAAUCUGGAACAAAGGUAGGU